AGUUAUUGUGUACAUACGCCUUAGUAAUGCUUCUUCUCUUUUACUGGUUAUGAAGUUAUAUUAGCGUUUUACCACUCGUUAAAUGUACGAAACAUGUAAUCAUCUACUAUUUAACUAUUUGAUUUCUUGAUGAUAAGCUUAUAUGCUUAUGUUAUAUGAACUUGUGCAACUGUUGAUACUAAUUAAUUUUGAGACUUGAUAGAGAGUAAUUUAUUGAGCUGCCUAGGUCUAGGUAAAUGUUAUAUAAUUCAAAACAGGAAUGAAGUAUGUCUCUGUAAAAUCUUUCCAGGAUUAAUCAAGAUUUAGUAUUCAAAUACACUAUGCUUCAUUUCCUUUUGGUUUUGCUGUUAAAGUUUCUAACUUUAAACAAUGAUUGUUGCCUUUUGCAUGCAAUAGUUGGUGGAAUCAGUACUAAGUAAGGUUGCGGAAGAGUUCAAGCAAUGUAUUACAAGUCAAUAUGACCUGAUGAGAAUUGUCGGGAUGAAAGAAGAUGGACGUCUCCAUAUAUUAAAAGUUAGGCUUAAUUUAGUUUCUUUUUUUUUAGAAAAUAUUUUACAUGUUUGCAUACGAUCGGUUAUUUUAGCAUUGAAGACUUAUUCAUUUAUAAUUUUAUGUAAUAUUUGAAUUGAUUUAGUUUUUUAUUAAUUAAUUUUAGCAACAAUUUACCGUA